AUGGGAUCGGGGGGGGGGGGGGGGGGGGGGGGGGGGGGGGGGGGGGGGGGGGAGGCGGCGCCGGUCCCGGUCUGGAGCCCGGUCCCGGUUGUGGNGGGGGGGGGGGGGGGGGGGGGGGGGGGGGGGGGGGGGGGGGGGGGGGGGGGGGGGGGGGGGGGGGGGGGGGGGGGGGGGGGGGGGGGGGAAGCGGGGCCGGUCCCGGUCUGGAGCCCGGUCCCGGUUGUGGUUCCAGUCCCGGUUGUAGGCACCGUGUGGGUGCCCACCGUCCUCCCGCCCGUUUCCACGCGUGUGCCCACGCGGGGGCCGUGUCCCCGUGUGUGCAGCGGGACGCGGGUGGCGCAAGGAGCAGCCCGCGGGCCCCUCCGGGACACGGAGUCACAGAGACCCCACAGUGUAACAGAGACACCACAAACACACAGAGACCCCACAGAGACCCCACUGAGCCCCAACAGUCCCACAGAGACCCCCAAAGAGCCCCCCCAGGGCCACCCACCCACCCACAGAGCCUCCACAAACCCACAGAGCCCCCACGGAGUCCCCCAAAGAGCCCCCACAGAGCCACCCACCCACCCACAGAGCCCCACAGAGCCCCAACAGUCCCACAGAGCCACCACAGACCCCUCACAGACCUACAGAGCCACAGACCCACAGAGCUACCCACCCAUCCACAAGUCCCCCACAGAGCAACAGAGUCCCCACAGACUCCCCACUGACCCACAGAGCCACCACAGACCCUCAGACCUCCCCCCCAGACUCACAGAGUCUUCCACAGAGCUCCAACAGUCCCACAGAGCCCCCCACAGAGUCCCCCAAAGAGCCCCUACAGAGCCAAGCCCCCACCCACAGAGCCCCCCCAGACACCCCACAGAGCCACCCACCCAUGCACAGAGCCACUACAGAGUCCCCACAGAGCCACCCGUGGCAUGGGCUGGGCUGGGGGCAGCUCACAGCUCACCCACCAGCCCCCCUCCCCAGGGCACGACGCCUCCCUCCAUGCUGGCCACCCAGAGCCCCAUCCUUGGGGGCUUCCAGAAAUGGGGCACCCACAGCCACCCUGGCAUCCCAUGCCACCCGCACCACACACGAUUCCUUCCUUGUGCCACUUAA
rnacentral:lncRNA from 1 species